rnacentral:rRNA from 1 species
AUUGAACGCUGGCGGCAGGCCUAACACAUGCAAGUCGAGCGAGGGGCGGACGGGUGAGUAAUGUGUGGGGAUCUGCCUUAUGGAGGGGGAUAACUACGGGAAACUGUAGCUAAUACCGCAUACCCUAAGAUGAGCCUAUAUGGGAUUAGCUUGUUGGUGAGGUAAAGGCUAACCUAGGCUACGCUCUCUAGCUGGUCUGAGAGGAUGACCAGCCACACUGGGACUGAGACACGGCCCAGACUCCUACGGGAGGCAGCAGUGGGGAAUAUUGCACAAUGGGGGCAACCCUGAUGCAGCCAUGCCGCGUGGAUGAAGAAGGCCUUCGGGUUGUAAAGUACUUUCAGUCGGGAGGCGUUACCUACAGAAGAAGCACCGGCUAACUCCGUGCCAGCAGCCGCGGUAAUUC